CCGGUUCUGAGCACAAACAACCGCCCCCCGCCCGCGGGGACACCGCGGCGAGAAACACCCGCUUCUCCCCCAAAAACAGACCUUCCCCCUCAGAAACACCCUAUUUUUCGUCAGAAACACCCGCUUUCCCCAAAAAAAACACUCGCUUUUCCCCAAAAAACACCCGUUCCCCCACCCCCCGCCCAAACACCCGCUUUCUCGGGGAAAAGGGAGUGGUUUGGGGGGAAACACGCUUCCCCCCCCCCAAACACCCUCUUUUCUCUCAGAAACACCCGCUUUCCCCCUCAAAACACCCGCUUUCCCCCAAAAAAACACCCGCUUUUCUCCCCCGAAACACCUGCUGCUCUUCCCUCAAAACCACAACGUUUUGCCCUCAAAAACACUCGCUUUGCCCCAAAGAACACAUUCUUUCCCCAAAAACAGCGGCGCGAGGCGCCCGCGCCCCCCCGGCCGCGCCGCCAUUACAGCGCUGGCCGCGCUCCGCCGGCCGUGAGGCGAGAGAAAGCGGCGGGGUUUCUGAGCGAGAUAAAAAUCUUAUUAUGCAACGCACAUUUUUAAUAGAUUAGUGCCGAGUCCAGGGGUGAGGUAAUGCGGGCUGUCGGCAGCUGGGGCGGAGGCUGAGGGACGGGCGGGUUGCGCUGGUCCCUCCCAAGGGCACCGAGGCACCAUUUCCUCACCGCCCGUGAGGAGAUCUCUGAUAUAUCGCAUUUUUUCUACGGGAGGAUCUAUUUAUGUGGUUACACAUGUGCGGGUACGUCUUUUUCGCCAGAUCUCAUGUAUAAAGGUUUGCUUUCCGUAUUCUAGUCUCCAGAGCCAUCUGAAAACGUUCUGCCUGUGCUCAAUCUCAAGAAACUCGAUACAGUCCCAAGGGUAAAAAAACCACAUUUAAAGGAUGGUCUCGGUUAUAUUUAGCUGAGCAGCAGCACAGGCUGAGACGAGCAGAAACACAAGGAAGAACAAAGUGGAAACGCUCGACAGUUGGUAACAAAAACCUGCGAGUAUCUGAGGUGGAUUUUUUUUAAUUUUCCUUUCCCUAAUUCACAUUUCGCCGUGCACAGAGAACAUCAAAGCAGCACAUGGGUUUAUGUGAACAAAAGGAGCGUGCUCAACCCUGUCGUUCUAACCAGAAGACAUGAAAAAUAUGCAGCUCAUCUCUACAGCGCAAAAUUUAUGUGGAAUUACUGAACCUCGACAAAAGCCAUCUCACAAAUUCUUCAAUAAAGACUAAACAGCUACAUUUAACCUCAUUUUUCCCGAUUUUUCAUCUGUUCUCAGCACAGGCAUCUCCAAACCCUCUCAAAAUCCCAAAUCCCAGCUAAGUCAGUGAUUCAUCACUUCUGGCAGCGACGAAGCGGGAAGGAGGAGAUGAAGACAAUGGUAGGGAAAGCUCUUGAGAACCACAAGCAAGGAAGCCCAAACUUCUCCUUUGCCACCUUUCUGCUCGUUUCUCACAGCUCACACAGGACAGUGCCAGGCACAAAAAUUCCCACCGGUGUUGAACACCCACCGUGUGUCCCAAACACCCCCGGGGGAGAGGCAGGACCCACCUCCCUGAGGAAACACAACUUUGCCUUUUCCACCUGCCAGCUGAGACCGGAGUGACCAAGUUCUUCUGCUUCAGAAGAAUUCAGUGCCAUAAAGACCUUAAUAAUUUCAUAAAAUUGGACAUUUCCACUUAUAAAAAGGCCAUAAGAAUCUCCAGCUUGCUAAAAUCCCUGAGAGUACCACGGAAAUUGCAGGAAAUAAUUAUUCUCCUGACAAAUGAAACUGGAUAUAUUGCACAGUGAGUGGGAGCAGAGUGAAAAGGGGGUGAGGCAGCUUUCGCUCGCCACAGGGUAUGAGGGGCUUAAUAUUUACGUGGCAAAAUUCAGAAUGUGCUAAAAAUUAAACAGAAAAAAACACUUGUGCUUUGAAAGGCUUCAAGGCCAGGUGGGGUUUUGCUUCCCAAAGUAAAGAGAGGUUAAAUGUUUAUUAAUAUCUCACCGCUUGCUGAGCAACAUGUAAAACUGCUCUCUCUUCAAAAUUAAAUAGACAAUCCACCAGAUUCUGUUACUUGCUCAACUGAGCUUGAUUUUACUAUAUUAAUAAGAAAAAAAUGUUUAUUUCCUCCCUGAGUAUCGUCUACUUUUCCAUUACUACAACCAGAAAUUGCCAAGAAAAUGAAACGCUCAAGCACAGCAGACGCUGCUUUUCUUCUCAUUAAAUCUGAAAACUGAGUUCCAGUGGGAUUGUAUUUAGUCCUCUCAAAUCCAGAACAGGAUUUCAUCCUGCCUUGACAUCCCAACAAUAACAUUUUACAAAUAUUACAAGUUUCUUGGACUCCCUUCUCACUCUGCAAGAAGCAAAGGAGCACCAGAAGAGAUUUCCCCCCCCCCCUCCUGCUUGGGAUUUUUUUAUUAAACCUUAAAUGUAACCAGCCCUCCUUUCAAAUCCAUCUUCUCUAGGAUUUUUUUUUUUUGAGACCUCUGGAAGUCUCCGGGAUUUUUUUAAGUGAUAAUAAGUGUGAAAAGUCUUUGACAAAGGGUUGUCUUUAUCCAAGUCUUAAGCUCUCAUUGAGAGAGGUGUCAGAAAUAAAAAACCAGACGCUUAAAGCAGCCUAAAA